GUGGUAUGAAUGCCAAUGAGACAACUCUCCAUCCAAGUCACAAUAUGUAAAAGUUAAAAGAGUCAAAUAACGAUCUUCAAUGCGGAGGCGCCUUGGCUCCCACCAAACCACAGAAUAUAAAAGAUGUUUAAACCAGCGAAAAUUCAAUAUAACUUUUGCUUAACCCGCAUACAUGAAAAAUGAAACUACAAUUUGUAGUUAAAAUAACACAAUUUUAUUUUGAGUACUUUGGUACAAUGUUGUCAUGCCUUCUAAUUAUUUUGUAAACGCAAAUUAUCAAAUCAUUUAAACAGAUUUUUGUAAAUAUAAGUCUAUCCGUAAUAUCGUCGUCGGGGUUUGUAUUUUGGCCAGGGUGGACUGCAUGGUGGACAAUUACACGGUGCUCGGACGCAAGCGCAGCAUGGCUGUGGACGACCUGAAAAAAAAAUCGUUUAAAUACAAAUAAUGAGGCUUUUUCUUUGAUGUGCAAAUGAUGAGGAUUUUUUUUUUUAUGUUCGUAAUAUGCUAUUAUGUUGACGAAUACUGAUUACCCUUUUAUCAAAUAAAGUUAUUGUAUAUGUUUUAUAUUGAUGGUGAAUACUGCAUGGGUAAACACUGGCAAGUAAAUACUAUAAUAUAAAUGUUGAAGAGGACCAACGAAAUCUGUUAAAAGCACUUUUUGGAUUUUUUUUUUCUUGGACUGACGCUAUUCACGGCUGUUUUUAAAAUACUAACAGACUGUUGUAAUUUAGAAACAGCCGUGAAUAGCUUUGCUUGCUUACUGUUGUAGCUAACAUGUUACCCUGGUUUGGAACAGUUAAUGCUAUUUAUGUCUUUGUUCAUGCUAGUUGUCAUUCUAGUGGUAGCUGAACCGGUUUUUUUUUUGUAACCUGGAAUCCUGAUGAAAUAUUUUCAAUUUUGCUAAGCUUCAAUUCAAAUAUAACAUCAUAAGCUAACAUGACUUAUUGAGCAAAUUUAUCUAAACAGCGUGUUGCCACAUACGGACUUAUGGAUCAAAGUGACUAAGUCGUUAAAAGCAAUAAAAAAAAAAACACAACGUUAGAACGAUUUAUUUUCAAACAUAAAUCACGAUAAAAAGUAGCGUAUGUAAUAUCGUAUAUUGGAAACAAAAGCAAAGCAUAAUAGAUCAAAUAGCCUAUUUGUUUGAACAAGACAAAGAGGCACGACAUCUGGAAUUACACAAUAAGAUGCUCAAUCUUUUUCAAUUACAUUUGCCUGUCUUGCAGCCACCCGACAACUGCAGUGGCUGCAAGACAGGCAAAUGUAAUUGAAAAAGAUUGAGCAUCUUAUUGUGUAAUUCCAGAUGUCGUGAUGAUAUAUAUAUACAACUCGUCUAAACAUCAACCCAACAAUGUUAGAUCUGUAAAUUUGCUUUCGCAAAUUUUUUGUUCUUCCCACGCCGGGAUUCGAACCCAUGCUACUGUGAUAUCAUGACACCAAAUCGCCUGCACUGCAGCCGUCCCGCUAGACCACACGAC
rnacentral:lncRNA from 1 species